rnacentral:tRNA from 1 species
GGUAUUAUAGCUCAGUGGUAGAGUUUUCGACUUCAGAUCGAGAGGUCCCCGGUUCAAACCCGGGUGCCCCCU